UACGUAGGAUCCAAGCGUUAUCCGGAAUUACUGGGCGUAAAGAGUUGCGUAGGUGGUUAAGUAAGUAAAAAGUGAAAUCGUGCGGCUCAACCGUAUAAACAUUUUUUAAACUGCUUUGACUUGAAUUCGAUAGAGGUUACUGGAAUUCCAAGUGUAGGAGUGAAAUCCGUAGAUAUUUGGAGGAACACCAAUGGCGUAGGCAGGUAACUGGAUCGAUAUUGACACUGAGGCACGAAAGCGUGGGUAGCAAACGGG
rnacentral:rRNA from 1 species